rnacentral:tRNA from 1 species
GCUUUCGUGGUGCAAUUGGAAGCACGCCCGGCUAGUAAUCGGGAAGUACGAAGUUCGAAUCCCGGCGAGGGUA